UACGGAGGGUGCAAGCGUUGCUCGGAAUUAUUGGGCGUAAAGGGUAGGUAGGUGGUCUCAUUUGUCUGGGGUGAAAGCCUUGAGCUUAACUCAAGAAGUGCCCUAGAAACGGUGAGACUUGAGUCUUGGAGAGGGUCGUGGAAUUCCCGGUGUAGCGGUGAAAUGCGUAGAGAUCGGGAGGAACACCAGAGGCGAAGGCGGCGACCUGGACAAGGACUGACACUCAACUACGAAAGCGUGGGGAGCAAACAGG
rnacentral:rRNA from 1 species